rnacentral:rRNA from 1 species
CACGGGGGGAGCAAGCGUUGUUCGGAAUCACUGGGCGUAAAGGGCGUGUAGGCGGUCAAGUAAGUGGAAUGUGAAAGCCCCCGGCUUACCCGGGGAUCUGCAUCCCAAACUGCUUGGCUUGAGUACGGGAGAGGAUAGGGGAAUUCCUGGUGUAGCGGUGAAAUGCGUAGAUAUCAGGAGGAACACCGGUGGCGAAGGCGGCUAUCUGGACAGAGUCUGACGCUGAGGCGCGAAAGCUAGGGGAGCAAACAGG